rnacentral:misc_RNA from 1 species
CUCCUCCCGCCCCAUCAAAGACUCAGCAUAGGGGAGGAUUUGGCAGAGGAUGUUGUGCUGGGUUAUGUUGCUGCUGCCUCCUGGAUAUAUGCUUUUGAUGAGGACUGAUUCUUCAUAGUAUUUGUAGCUCCACAACUCUCUUCUAGUGGUUGUGGGAGAUUCUCAUUGUUUAUUGUUUUUGUUUUUGUGAUUUAUUAUUUUGAUUCUUUUCAUAAUAAUAAUAACAAUACGAAUUUUAUGCUAAAAAAAAAAACAAUAAACAAUGAGAAUCUCCCAC